UCAAUUGCAUUAUUUGCUUGUUUUGUGCUUAUUACAAUGUAUGGUCUGAAACAAAUGGUUGCGACUUUUCAGAUAGGAAUCGGGCUCAUUUCGACUCACCGAGUCGCCAUGCCAGCUCUCUCUCCUAACGUCCCUCCUCCCUCUGUCCUCUUCCUCAACGCUAUCUUCACUCUCCCAUGCCCUCUCUGCUUCCAUUCAUCGGCUCGAAUUUCUCCACCUGUUCUCCAAGUCAGAGCCUCUUCAGUCGAUGCUCUAUCUUCGUCAGGUUUUCUCUAUGUUCACCUAUAAUAUCUUAUGCGUAAGUUGUUAGUACUUCAAUUGCAGUCUCUCUAUUUGACAAAUUAGAAUUAAUAUGGAGUGUUCGCUGACUAAAUUGUUGUUAUAAGUAGACAAUGUGUUUAAAAUAACAUUUACUAGGAGAUUUAAAGUGAAUGUUGUUGAAAUUAGGUGGAGAAUCUUGUGAUUGCAAGUAAAAGUAGUAAUUCCAUUAGAAAAACUGAAAAGUUUAUACAGGUGGCAGGAUUAGUUAGUUCAGUGAGGGGUAAUCUUGCUUCUCGAUUUUUCUCUAGCCAUUCCUGUAUAGUAUUUUCUUAAUGUGAGUUCUUCAAAGUUAAUGUGUGGUAUUAUGUGGAUUAUUUCUAUAUAGUAUUUUACAAAUGGGUUGUAGUUUGGAGUAAUUAUUAUUAGUAGAGAAGGUAUAAAAGGGUGAGGAAACUAGUAAGUUUGAAUUAAAAACCUAUAUAUAAUACAUUUAUACACGUAUGCACAUAUAUAAGUACAUACAUUUACAUAUUUUCUACAUAUGCAUUCAUAUGUGUGGAUAUGCAUGUAGUUAUAUGUAUAAUGUAUGUAUUUUAUGUUUAUGAAUAUGUUUCCAUCUGUGUAUGUAUCAUCUUAGACCAAUUGCGCAAACUCCAUUUCUUUUAAAUGUCGGAGAUGUUCUGAAAGGUACUCAGCAUUGAAGGUUGCCAAAAACUGUUCCUAGGUAAUCGGAGUGGGUAGAGUAACUUGCUCGAUUUGCCACCAACGCCCUGCCUCAUGAGUAUAUACGUGACAAAGACAACCUUCUAUUUGGGAAUCACCCCAAGUGCUGCGAAGGCCUUCUGCCAACCCGUAGUCAGCUUCCUCAAAAGUGGAUGCUUAUGUAAAAAUAGAUAGGUUAAGUCUUUUGUACCUUUCGAUGUAAUCCGGGUCCAUCGUAGGUAGAGUUGAGUCCUGCUGGAGGGGAACUAGAUUAUGCUGGGGAGGAACCGGGUGGUUUUGGGGCAGCACUGUGUUAUACGAUGAAGGCAUUGGAUUAUACUGCAGAAGUGUUAGAUAGUACUGUGGAGGAAC
rnacentral:lncRNA from 1 species